GUGACUACGGGGUGGAAAGUCAAGGGGACAACAGGGAAAACGGAGCCUUGCUAUUUCCUUAGAAGUGAGGCAUUUUAUUUUCGGAUGCUGUUGGCAGUAUUUCAAGACAAUGAUGGGCUGCUGGAGGAAGGACACUAACAUCAUCCAUGCCUAUUCUGUGCCGGGCACGUGGGAUUUCCAGCAUUGUCCCACAGAAUCCUCAUCACACCCCUGCGAGUUAAUGAUUGAGUACCUUGUACAUGAAGAAUCUUACAGAGGAAAUGGUGAAGGAGAGACUGGAACGAAGCUCUGUUCAACCCUAAGACUCCUUGCUUCAUUUAACCAUCAGGCUUUACUAAGUCAAGGUGAACGAGAGUGGGAGAAGCCUAGCACCUGGAGAUGAUGCUAACCUGGAGAAGCAGUACUUUGCAGGGAGCUCAGCAUGUCCACUCAGUCCUGGAAAGCUGUGGAGCUAUUGUGUACUGUCUGGGAGGACAAUCAAGAAAAUCAUAUGCUUCCAGCAGCUCGGGAGGCUGAAGCAGAAGGUUUGAAGCCAGCACCAGUAACUUAGUGAUGCCUUAAGCAACUUAGCAAGACCUGUCUCAAAAUAAAAAACA